rnacentral:rRNA from 1 species
GCCCCCUAGGGGGGCAGCAGUGGGGGAUAUUGCACAAUGGGGGGAACCCUGAUGCAGCGACGCCGCGUGAAGGAAGAAGUAUCUCGGUAUGUAAACUUCUAUCAGCAGGGGAGAAAAUGACGGUACCUGACUAAGAAGCCCCGGCUAACUACGUGCCAGCAGCCGCGGUAAUACGUAGGGGGCAAGCGUUAUCCGGAUUUACUGGGUGUAAAGGGAGCGCAGGCGGCACGGCAAGCCUGAUGUGAAAGCCCGCGGCCCAACCGCGGGACUGCAUUGGGAACUACCGGGCUGGAGUGCCGGAGAGG